rnacentral:lncRNA from 1 species
CCUCACGCUUGCACAGAGGCAGGUCAUCUCCUGCCCUGGCCCCUCUGCAACACCUACAUUAAACUAGAAAUCAGACCACUCCCGCAGCUUUGGAAACAGUUCCUACAGCCACUGACUGGACGUCUUGGGUCUGCCGGAGGCAGCACCUUCGCGUCCUUCAGGCCAUCUCCUGAGACAGCAGUCGCUGAUGGCCCCGAUGAGGAACAGGGAUCCAGCUCCUGCCUUGGGGCCUGUCAGAGCCUGGGAAGAGGGCUGAGGCCAGGCCCUGCCCAGGUCAGCACAGCCCCUGGCUCAGGCCCGGUGGUUAAACAGGAGUUUACAGCCGUGGCAUCACGGCAGGGCAUGAGAGAGACCUGCACGUCAACCCUACCAGCCCAGGGAAAUAGUGCUCAUCUCUCUUUUGCUUAUGCCACUCACUUUUUGGGUACAGACUGAUUAAAUAUUAAAUUGUCUUUGUUCCACACAGGCUUUAUUCUACAGCACUGAGCUGGCUGUUAGGUAGCCAUCAACUGCUGAGGCCGUGAUUAGCACUAUCCAGAAUUACACUGCUGGCAUCAGCAGUAAGUAUAACUGAGCAGUGCAAUGACAGUACACUGAAAUAAUACCAAACGUCAAUAAUAAUAAAAUCAAGAAAAAUAUCCCUUUCUUUCA